rnacentral:rRNA from 1 species
GACGAGGGGUCCUAGCGUUGUUCGGAAUCAUUGGGCGUAAAGAGUAUGUAGGCGGCUUUUCAAGUCAGAUGUGAAAGCCCACGGCUUAACCGUGGAAAUGCAUUUGAUACUGUUAAGCUUGAGUGCGGAAGAGGAUGGUAGAAUUCCUGGUGUAGUGGUGAAAUGCGUAGAGAUCAUGAGGAAGACCAGUGGCGAAGGCGGGUCUCUGGACAGUUCCUGACACUGAGGCACGAAGGCCAGGGGAGCAAACGGG